rnacentral:lncRNA from 1 species
AAUUAGGUACGGGCGGCUGAUCAGGCAGUGACUACCGCCGCAUACCGAGUAGGACACAACCAGCGGUCUGAGUAGAAGAGUGUCAGCGACUCCGAGAAACUUGCAGGAACCCCAGCAUGUGAAUUGGACAUGAUCACCUCAUUGGAGGAAGGACAACUAUAGAUACUGGAUCUUCAGGGAGCUGAAGAGGGAAGUGACCAAAAAUAUCUGUCUAGAUAGGGAGAUUUGAACUGAACUAAAGCAUCAACACCAAUCAGGCUAUUUCUGAAGAAC